UACGUAGGGGGCGAGCGUUGUCCGGAAUCAUUGGGCGUAAAGCGCGUGUAGGCGGCCCGGUAAGUCCGCUGUGAAAGUCCAGGGCUCAACCCUGGGAUGCCGGUGGAUACUGUCGGGCUCGAGUCCGGAAGAGGCGAGUGGAAUUCCUGGUGUAGCAGUGAAAUGCGCAGAUAUCAGGAGGAACACCAAUGGCGAAGGCAGCUCGCUGGGACGUGACUGACGCUGAGACGCGAAAGCGUGGGGAGCAAACAGG
rnacentral:rRNA from 1 species